rnacentral:lncRNA from 1 species
CGAGGUGCUGCCGCCGCUGCCCGACCUGCGCCUUCGCGCCACUUCGCGCCCUCGGGCGAGGCCGAGGGGGUGGGGACGACCCCCGCCGCGCCGCCGUGGCUUGCGCCCCCUCGCGAAGCCCCCUCCGCGGGGCGGACCGGCCGGCUGGCCGCACCCCCGGCCUGGGGCCUCCGGUCGUAGUAAAGCGGAGGCGGGUGGGGAGGCGGGAGCGAGAGCCCGCGGCGGGCGAGGCGAAGAUGGUGGCGGCUACUCCUCCUGUCAUACACGUGGACCUAACUGCACCAAAAGCUUUUCUAAGGAUAUUUGCUGAGAAGGAAGUUUUCCCCAGUGGGCAAACCUAUCUAAGCAGACCAAACCAGACUUGAGGGUUUUCCCUGUAUUUUGAAGAGCCCUACAGAAUGAUUCGUGAUAAAAAGCAACCUACAACUACCUGGAGGAAAAUUUGGUGUCACAUUAAAGUUUGCUGUGUAUUUAAUGAAGUACUGUUCUGAAUUGAUAACCUUGGGGUGGUUUGUCUAGCAUCAGAAUUAGGAGCCUCUGAGCUGAGCAGUAAAGGUAAGGAGGGCUCAGUGUACAAGGUCAGUUUUUGUUGUCCAACUGGAAGUCCUACCAUGCCUACUUGAAGACAGCACAUUCCUCUUUGCCUUGGAGGUUGUUGAGCUUUCAUUGUACUUAAAGACUAAAUACAGUUUUCUGUUUUGUUAAGGUAAAUUCAGGAUGUAAUAGUCUUAGAGUUUUAAAGGGUAACAAAGUUGGGCAUACCCUGUAAAUUUUAAGGCCAUAGGAAAAUUAGUGAAGGCUUAGUUUUCUAGUUUAGCGUAUAUAGCAUUCAGAGAUACUGAUGUAUUUGCAACUAAGUCGUGCUGUUGGAAUUGUUUUGGUGCUUUCAAUGUAAAUAAAUGUAUGCAUUUUAAAACUACUUGUUAAAUUUCCCAGAAUGAGAAUUUUGAAAUAAAAAUUUAAAGGUUAUGCUUGCUUGUAAUUUUUCUGGCGUUUUUUGUUACUAUAAAACAUCCAAACACCUUUCCUUAUUAAUUGAGGUAACUGGGGGAGAGGGAACAGGUGUACCUUAACUUUGGUAUCAGUGGCAUCUGUGUUUGUAUCCUGAUUUUACAGAUAAGGGAAUGUGAUGAGCAAAGUUUAUUUGCAAGGAUAUGAAGCUGGUAAAUAGGCUCUGAAUUUAAACCCAUGUUGAUAAACUAUGAAAAAGACAGUAAAGUUGCAAUUCCAGUCACAUGUGGUUUUGAAUACUUACUAAUAAAUAUGUAAUUGCCAGCGGAUUUCCUCCUUAACAAGGUUAAGUAACAUGGUAUGGAGGUAAAGAACAAAAACCCAAAGUUGGCAGCUUAAUGACAUCAAAUUACAUGGUCAGUGUAGUAUCCCCAUUCUUAAUAACUGAUUAACAUAUUUUAUGUUUGCUUGUAAGAAGUGUAUGUACUAUGAGGAUU